rnacentral:rRNA from 1 species
CGAACGGGAUGCUUAGGCAUCUAGUGGCGGACGGGUGAGUAACGCGUGAGAAUCUGGCUCCAGGUCGGGGAUAACAGUUGGAAACGACUGCUAAUACCGGAUGUGCCGAGAGGUGAAAGAUUUAUUGCCUGGAGAUGAGCUCGCGUCUGAUUAGCUAGUUGGUGGUGUAAGGGACCACCAAGGCGUCGAUCAGUAGCUGGUCUGAGAGGAUGAUCAGCCACACUGGGACUGAGACACGGCCCAGACUCCUACGGGAGGCAGCAGUGGGGAAUUUUCCGCAAUGGGCGAAAGCCUGACGGAGCAAUACCGCGUGAGGGAGGAAGGCUCUUGGGUCGUAAACCUCUUUUCUCAAGGAAGAAGAAAGUGACGGUACUUGAGGAAUAAGCAUCGGCUAACUCCGUGCCAGCAGCCGCGGUAAUACGGAGGAUGCAAGCGUUAUCCGGAAUGAUUGGGCGUAAAGGGUCUGCAGGUGGAACUGAAAGUCUGCUGUUAAAGAGUUUGGCUUAACCAAAUAAAAGCGGUGGAAACUACAGAACUAGAGUGCGGUAGGGGCAAAAGGAAUUCCUGGUGUAGCGGUGAAAUGCGUAGAUAUCAGGAAGAACACCGGUGGCGAAAGCGUUUUGCUAGACCGUAACUGACACUGAGGGACGAAAGCUAGGGGAGCGAAUGGGAUUAGAUACCCCAGUAGUCCUAGCCGUAAACGAUGGAUACUAGGCGUGGCUUGUAUCGACCCGAGCCGUGCCGGAGCUAACGCGUUAAGUAUCCCGCCUGGGGAGUACGCACGCAAGUGUGAAACUCAAAGGAAUUGACGGGGGCCCGCACAAGCGGUGGAGUAUGUGGUUUAAUUCGAUGCAACGCGAAGAACCUUACCAAGACUUGACAUCCUGCGAAUCCUGGUGAAAGCUGGGAGUGCCUUCGGGAGCGCAGAGACAGGUGGUGCAUGGCUGUCGUCAGCUCGUGUCGUGAGAUGUUGGGUUAAGUCCCGCAACGAGCGCAACCCUCGUUUUUAGUUGCCAGCAUUAAGUUGGGCACUCUAGAGAGACUGCCGGUGACAAACCGGAGGAAGGUGAGGAUGACGUCAAGUCAGCAUGCCCCUUACGUCUUGGGCUACACACGUACUACAAUGCUACGGACAGAGGGCAGCAAGCCAGGGAUGGCAAGCGAAUCCAGAAACCGUAGCUCAGUUCAGAUCGAAGGCUGCAACUCGCCUUCGUGAAGGAGGAAUCGCUAGUAAUUGCAGGUCAGCAUACUGCAGUGAAUUCGUUCCCGGGCCUUGUACACACCGCCCGUCACACCAUGGAAGUUGGUCACGCCCGAAGUCAUUACCCCAACCGAAAGGAGGGGGAUGCCUAAGGUAGGACUGGUGACUGGGGUGAAGUCGUAACAAGGUAGCCGUACCGGAAGGUGUGGCUGGAUCACCUCCUUU